rnacentral:rRNA from 1 species
CCCUUAGGUGUUCGGGGCCGCACGCGCGCUACACUGAAGGAAUCAGCACGUCUUUCUCCUUGUCCGAAAGGACUGGGUAACCCGCUGAACCUCCUUCGUGCUAGGGAUUGGGGCUUGUAAUUCUUCCCCAUGAACGAGGAAUUCCCAGUAAGCGCGAGUCAUAAGCUCGCGUUGAUUACGUCCCUGCCCUUUGUACACACCGCCCGUCGCUACUACCGAUUGGAUGGUUUAGUGAGAUCCUCGGAUUGGUCCCGGCGCGGCCUCUGGUCGUGCCGGAGUGCCGAAAAGAAUGUCGAACUUGAUCAUCUAGAGGAAGUAAAAGUCGUAACA